GAGAGACUGAAAUAUCAGCGGGAGCUAAAUAUGCCACAACAUGUCGUUAUUUUUUUACUUUGUGCGUUGGGACUCAUUCAGAAAGUGUCACCAACACCAACGCUACAGUCACUGUCACCGCUACAGCCGUGCUGCUUCGUCUCCAUGGCAACAUCCAACGUCCUCAGAUAGAGGUGUUUACCAUGAUUCCUGAAGUCACACUGUCAGACAACAGUGUGAUGGACCCACACACCUGUAGGCAAGAAGGACAACAAGCCGAUCAGACAACGGACACCCUAAGAGAAAUGAGACAAGUGUAA